UUCGGUCUCUAUCCGCCGCGCGCGUUAGAAACUGAGGAAUGGCUGGUCCCUAGUACGAGAGGACCGGGACGGACGAACCUCUGGUGUGCCAGUUUUCCGCCAGGACACUGCUGUUAGCUACGUUCGGAAGGUAUAACCGCUGAAAGCAUCUAAGCGGGAAGCCUGUUCCAAGAUGAGGUUUCUCACCCCUCGAGGGGUAAGGCCCCCGGCAGACCACCGGGUUGAUAGGCCAGAACUUGAAAGCCAGUAAUGUGUGGAGGUGACUGGUACUAAUAGGCCCGAGGACUUACCACAA
rnacentral:rRNA from 1 species